rnacentral:rRNA from 1 species
CUAGGAAUCUUGGGAAUGGGCGAAAGCCUGACCCAGCAACGCCGCGUGGGCGAUGAAGGCCUUCGGGUCGUAAAGCCCUUUUGCAGGGGAAGAUGAUGACGGUACCCUGCGAAUAAGCCACGGCUAACUACGUGCCAGCAGCCGCGGUAAUACGUAGGUGGCAAGCGUUGUCCGGAUUUACUGGGCGUAAAGGGCGUGCAGGCGGUUUGUUAAGUGCAGGGUGAAAGCUCCCGGCUCAACUGGGAGAGGUCCUUGCAUACUGGCGAACUCGAGGGAGGCAGAGGAAAGUGGAAUUCCCGGUGUAGUGGUGAUAUGCGUAGAUAUCGGGAGGAACACCUGUGGCGAAGGCGGCUUUCUGGGCCUUACCUGACGCUGAGACGCGAAAGCGUGGGGAGCGAACCGG